UAUUAUUGAAACAUUUAUAUAGUGUGUAUUAUUUUCCUUGUAUUAGUCGUAUACAUUUUCCAGUAGAGUAAUAAAAUACAAUAAAUAUAUUUUUCAAUGCAUACUUAAUCUCUUUUUUUUUUCUAAAUAAAUAAGUAUAACAAAAAUGUUUGCAAAUAUUUCUCUUUGUCAAUGCAAGAGUAUAUCGUGGUCUUGUGGGCAUGGACCAUAUACAAUGCUUUAAGAGAAUACUUCGUGUGUAAUUUGACCAUAUUUUGCUUCAAUGUCAUAUAGUAAAAUAAUGUUCUUAAAACUUCACGUAAAGAAGAUAAAAUGAAAAAUAUUCAUUAUGUUAUAAACAUUAAAAAAUUUAUAUCUUUAAAUAUACCAAUAUAAAAUUGAAUUUACUUUUAAAAGGAUUGGGUAACAUGGAGGACAUUUUUAGACAAGGAGGCGAGUAGGAAUUAGGUACUACCUACUCCUUUGGACCCAUUGUAAAGUCACUUUCACACUCUAAGUUAGAAAAAUAAAUGAGAUAGUAAAUGUGCAAUAAUAAAUCAUGCAUACAUUUGAAUUGUCACAUAUUUUAUAUUAUUCUUAGUGGACUUUUACAUGCAUACCUUUAGGAUUAACUUAUGUCUCCCUUAAUCUCAACUUAGUCAUUUACUAUGGAUAUUGAUUUAAAUGUUUGUUAAGGGUAAUUGGGAUGUUAAUUAUUAGGCUUGUUUUAGGUUGAUUUUAGUAUGUCCGGACAAUUUUAAGUUUUUAUUUGUGUAUAACUAUGGUAGUUUGAGAUGUGCACGGAUCAUUGUUCAUUGUGAGUACGAGAUGAUCAUAUACAUGUGUUGGUUUGAGACGUCUCUAAGUUAAUAUUUUUACACUCUUCCCAAAAAAAAUUGGAUGAGGGUAUAUAUGAUAAAAAGUCUUUAAAAGAAAAAUUUAUUUCUUUGUCUGAUAUCAUGUUACAUGUAUACCGUACACUAGCCUCCAACUCAAGUGGAUGUAAGUGACAGAGUUUAGAACCUUUCUUAGAGGUUCUUGGAAACUGUGCACAUUUAAUGAUGAUUGUGGUGUUCGGGAGAUGAAAGGUUGUGUCCUUGUGACCUUUAGAUUGAAACGAUAAAACAAUUGGGGAUUUUCGAGGUCAGGGACUUUUAUGAAUGAACAUAUGUAUCCAUAUGACACCGAGUUAAUCAGUAAGUAUAGCUCGGAUGGUAAUAGUGGAAGAAUUGAUAUUUUUUUUCUCUAUCCAUGAGGAAUCUGGUGCCAAUGUUUAUACAGAGAUAAUGGGGAUGUGAUCUCACAAAACUUGGUCAUGACAAAGUUGAGGAAUGAACCAACGAUUACUUGCCCCUAAAAAGAGGCCGUGAGUGGACAUGUCCUAAUGUGAAGGAGUAUUUUUUUUAACUAUCAUUAGUCUUCUGUUGAUAACAAUCAUAUAAGCAAAUGAAACAAUUAACAUAUGAAACAUAGACUUUGAAGUAAAGUUGAAUCUCAUCAUUUGUUUUAAAUCAUGAAAGUUCAUGAGAAACUUGAGCCAAUGAUUUCAACAAGAAGUUCACAAGAAGAAAAAAAAACAAUUAUGGAAUGAAAAAACUAAGAACAAGAAAUUUAAUAGAGUAGAUGAUGAUUAACAUCAUAACAACAUAAAGACAAUAAUUGGUAGAAUUAAAAGAUAUAAAGGAAUCACAAAUAUAAGACAAAAUAUGAAUAAGAACAAUUUAAGAACAAGACAUCAAAUAAAAAGAGAAAAUGGAUAGGAGACCUAGGAGAUGAAAGAAAUUACGUGAGACUUGAAAAGCUAUUCUUCUCAAAGGUAAGCAUCAUAGACGAAUUGCCCUUUAAGAAUUUCUCUAAUUCUUAAAAACUUAAAAAGUAUUUUGUACACUGAAUGGGGUGACAUAAGAUAAGUCCCUCUAUGUGCAUGCAUAAGAUCCUAUUAGAGUAAGAGACAACCACAAAGGAGGUUGAAUCCUCUAAUUUUGAAUGUGGUUAAUGAUUUAAAUAAGGAUGAAGAAAAGCUUAUUGAAGAAAGAGAAGAGGAGCUAAAAUGUAAAUAC
rnacentral:lncRNA from 1 species